GGUCGGCAGCUGACUCUUCUCUGUGGCCGCAUCAUCGACAGGCCAGCCCUCCCCCCGGGGAGCUUCUGCUCUGGGAAAGGGGCCCCAGGACAAGUGGGAAGUCGUCACACGCAGUCCCCUCGUAUGGGUUCUGAUGUGUUUCUGGAACCUUUCUCCCUCUCUGUCCAGAGUCUGGGUGAGCUGUUUACCCCAGGCAGGCGGGGAAGCCUUGCCUCUCUCGUGGUGUCUGGCGCUUAGGCAGGAGGAUCCUGAGAUGCCUUCCCCACACGUCUGGCCGGCAGUGAUGGCUGCGGGCCUGGGCCCAGCGGGGCGAUUGGCAGGUCACGCGCACGCGGGCUCCCGCGGCCUGCACACGGCGGCCGGGUCUGCGUGUGAGCACGUGAGGCGGUGGAAGACCCCGGGCUCUGAUGACCCCGCCCCGGAGGUCGUGCAGUGUGAGCCCUGCGGCUUCCUCUUGGUGAGGGACCUGCUGGUCCAGACGAGACUCCAGAGGGCAUAUUCCCGUGUCAUUGUUUCCGUAGCAGCUCAGGGCCGACCUCAGACUGCAAACUGUCCUCCAGUGACGGCUCCGCCCAGUUCAGGCACAUCCUCGGGGGCGUGGCCUCCGCCCCAGCUCAGGUUCAUCCUCCGGGUGGGGGCUCCACCCCAGCUCAGGUUCAUCCUCCGGGUGGGGGCUCCGCCCCAGUUCAGGUUCAUCCUCCGGGUGGGGGCUCCACCGCAGUUCAGGGUCAUCCUUGGAGGCGUGGCCUCCGCCCCAGUUCAGGCUCAUCCUCGGGGGCGUGGCCUCCAUCCCAGCUCAGGAUCAUCCUCGGGGGUGGGGGCUCCACCUCAGUUCAGGAUCCUCCUCGGGGAGGGUCUCCGCCCCAGAUCAGGUUCUUCCUUGGGGGCGUGGCCUCCGCCCCAGUUCAGGUUCAUCCUCGGGGAGGGCGCUCCGCCCCAGUUCGGGUUCAUUCUCGGGGGUGGGGGCUCCGCCCUCGUUUAG
rnacentral:lncRNA from 1 species